rnacentral:rRNA from 1 species
AUCGAACGCUGGCGGCAGGCCUAAUACAUGCAAGUCGAACGAGUGGCGGACGGGUGAGUAAUGUCUGGGAAACUGCCCGAUCGAGGGGGAUAACUACUGGAACCGGUAGCUAAUACCGCAUACCAUCGGAUGUGCCAUGCGGGGAUUAGCUAGUCGGUGGGGUAACGGCUCACCUAGGCGACGAUCCCUAGCUGGUCUGAGAGGAUGACCAGCCACACUGGCACUGAGACACGGUCCAGACUCCUACGGGAGGCAGCAGUAGGGAAUAUUGCACAAUGGGCGCAAGCCUGAUCCAGCCAUGCCGCGUGUGUGAAGAAGGCCUUCGGGUUGUAAAAUACUUGCGGCGGAGAGGCGUUACUCACAGAGAAAGCACCGGCUAACUACGUGCCAGCAGCCGCGGUAAUUC